CAGCCGCAAAAGAUUGCUAAUCCCUUAAAGAGGAGAGCAUCAAAGCGCGUUCUAAUUUUCUACAGUCCCCGCCCUCCGGGACACGUGGAGGUUCACGUGCGCACUAACGAGACGAGCGAGCUUCGGAACCCCGGCUGCAGCCGCCUCUGAGGGGGAAAGGAGUCCUCCGGUUCUCGAGGAAGGAAUGCCUGGAACAACACUGCCUGCUGCACGACUGGCAGAAGAGCAGUCAUUUAAAUGGCCUUAAAGAGCAAAGCAUGUAAUGAAACAUUCAACUUUUAUACUGAGUAUGGCAGAUUACGUAGACUGCUGGAAAAUAGAAGGGCAAGACAGCUGUCAGAGCAGUCUUUUAAUUAAUUCCUAGAGAAAUAUUCAGUGUAAACAGGAAGGGGAAAAAAUGAACAUCCAGCUCCUAAUGUGUAAAAAGAACUGUUUUGAAGACCUUUGAAAAAUAGGAGCAUCUUAUAAUCUGAUGACAGUUUUGCACUUCCCAGUUUAGGAAAUUGCUUGCUAAUGGAUAUUUGGAUGUUAAGAAUUUUCAAGAGGGCAAGUUUCAUUACAUCAGGUGGUGAUUCUCAAGAGCUGUAUGACAGCAGCGUGAAUGCAGAAUUAUCAGAUACAGAAGAAUUCUUCAGAUUUAUAGCAAAAAUGCUAAUCAGCCAUCAGAAACAGCUAUCAUAAGGAAGAGGAAACACCAAUCUCAAUUAGCAUGGAAGAAAAUGAAAGUAAAGAUCUCCCUACCCCAAUGAGCCGCAUAAAGAAGACAAUUUUUGAAAGCCACCAAGAAACAGAAAACCUUUUUCUGCUGAAAGCACAGGAACAGAAUCCCAGGACAUAUCACAGAGCUACUUCUACGUCACCUUCCUCAAAACCAGCAUGAAGAUGAUCCCUAAUUGUCUUAACUUUAACUCAGCUUUUAAGCACUGAGAACAAGAAGAAAGAGAUAGCUUUCAGUCAUUGCACCAUCUUAGAGUGGUGGACUAAUAAACAUUCUCUAACUUCAUGCAAAAGGGAAAGGCAGUUUCACUUCCACAUCCAAGUCAUUAUUCCAAAUUAUGUUUCUGCAUAUGUAGAGAUGUUUACAUGGAUAUCAAUAUUUCAAAAAACAAAAAAACACACCCUCAUGUCUGCUAUUUAAUUGACCUGCAGCUGAACCAGAAUGAAAUCAAUUUACUUUUCCAUCACUACUUAGCCUCAUGGGAUCACAGGUAAGGAGAUGCUGCCAAGCUAAUGCAAACCUCACCCCACUCCUCGAGAAAUGCCUAUAGACUCAGUGGGAAGCUGUAAUUGAAGAAAGGAAAGAAAUACUGUAUGUUUGGAAAUUUACAUUUG